rnacentral:rRNA from 1 species
UACGAAGGGUCCAAGCGUUAUCCGGAUUUAUUGGGUUUAAAGGGUGCGUAGGCGGGUUGUUAAGUCAGUGGUGAAAUCUUGCAGCUUAACUGUAAAAUUGCCAUUGAUACUGACGAUCUUGAGUACACUUGAAGUGGGCGGAAUAUGUCAUGUAGAGGUGAAAUUCUUAGAGAUGACAUAGAACACCGAUUGCGAAGGCAGCUCACUAAAUUGUAACUGACGGCUGAGGCACGAAAGCGUGGGGAUCAAACAGG